AACAGCCAACUAGGCUUUAACUCUAAGCCAAUCAAUAAUUUCCUUACUUUGCUCCCACCUUCUCUCUAUAACAGCCUCCAGAGCCCCAGCUCCUGUUGUGCUUGGAGCAUUCCUAACCACUUUAGGCUUGGCGCUGCCCAAUUUGAAUCGAUUCUUGCUCAAUUAAACUCUUAAAAAUUUUAAUAUGCCUCAGUUUAGAUUUCAACAUUUCUGAUGUCAGAAGAGGGAACUGAAGGAGAUCCUCCCACAGCCUCCGGGAGCAAGGAGGCAUAGGUACCUGCUGAGCCCCUUCAGCUCACUGCUUUCUCCCUGCCUCUGGAGAUGGAGGGAUGGGACCUACUGGGACGCCCCCACUUGCUCCAGAGCCUGCCGAAAGGAUCCUGGGAAAACUGGCAGAAGCCAGCAAAGGGUGAAAAUUCUUAUGAAGUCAGCUCUCCCAGAUCUGUAUCGUGGUACCUGGUUGAGAGACGAAGGUGCCCCCUGCUUGUCAAUCCUUUCUCUCCCAGGGACAGCUAUUGCCUUCUUGUUCACCUUCUUCUGUGUCCUGAGAACUUGGCUUGACAACCAUCAGGAUGGAGGCCGUCAGAAUACGGCCGGAUAGAAAUAAAAACUGCAGUCACAUAGCCAGAGCGUGAGCAAAAGAAGAAACUGUGACCUGAAAUGACCGCAGAACCAAAGAUCCUGCUUCCCAUGUAACCCGAGGACCAGGACACGACCAGAGCUUGAAAGUCAGACUCUUAUCAGAAGUGAGGGGGCUUAUUCAGGAAGAUCUGGUGUUAAAUACCUUCCUCAUCAAAAAAUGUUUAGAACCCUGUUGUAAAUGUUUAGAACCCUCUCAUAAAUGUUUAAAACCUUACCAUGAAUGCUCGAAGCCCACCAAGCAAAACCUGUCCCACCAGCAUUUCCACGUGCCAGCCUGUUCUCCCUAACCUCUUAAACUUUGCCCCAAAUCCUGAAUCAGGGAGACAGAUCUGAAGACACACACACCCUGUUCUCCCUGCAGAUCGAUCUUGCUGAAUAAAGCUGAUCUCUUUUCCCAAAGGCUGAUGCCAUAAUUAAUCCACCAUUUCAGUGCAUUGGGCAAGUGAACCCCAAUUUUGUGUGGUAACAUACUUAUCUUACAAAUGAGUCUUUACAAGAACAGACAUGGGGCUCUAGAAACAAUUCAAAAGCCCACCUGUCC
rnacentral:lncRNA from 1 species